rnacentral:rRNA from 1 species
UACGAAGGGUGCAAACGUUGCUCGGAAUUAUUGGGCGUAAAGCGCCCGUAGGCGGCUCUGCAAGUCGGAUGUGAAAUCCCUCGGCUCAACCAAGGAAGUGCAUCCGAAACUGCGGAGCUUGAGUACUUAAGAGGAUCGCGGAAUUCCCGGUGUAGAGGUGAAAUUCGUAGAUAUCGGGAGGAACACCAGUGGCGAAGGCGGCGAUCUGGGAAGAUACUGACGCUGAGGUGCGAAAGCGUGGGGAGCAAACAGG